ACUUCCGUAGCAUAGUGGUAGUGCGUUCGCUUCAUAAGCGAAAGGUCGCGAGUUCGAUCCUCGCCAAGAGCU
rnacentral:tRNA from 1 species